UACGUAGGGUGCGAGCGUUAAUCGGAAUUACUGGGCGUAAAGCGUGCGCAGGCGGUUUUGUAAGCCAGGUGUGAAAUCCCCGGGCUCAACCUGGGAAUGGCAUUUGGGACUGCAAGGCUGGAGUGCGGCAGAGGAGACUGGAAUUCCUGGUGUAGCAGUGAAAUGCGUAGAUAUCAGGAGGAACACCGAUGGCGAAGGCAGGUCUCUGGGCUGAUACUGACGCUGAGGAGCGAAAGCGUGGGGAGCGAACAGG
rnacentral:rRNA from 1 species